ensembl:lncRNA
CGUUUGCGGUGGGAAUCCGGUGGGAAUCCGGGGAUAAAAAAUAAUAAUAGGUCCGUUAUGCUCUGGAUAGAGACGCGUUGUUCGAACUGGCGAGAGCUUUCCGAGCUAAAGGUUAGCUGAUGACCGGCUAGCUGAAGACCGCUAGCAAUGGUUUGCUGACUGAUAGCUGGUAGUUAGCUGGCUAGCUUCAGUUGAGGGGAUCCGGAUCCGAAGUAAAUAUAAAUACUUCAGAAAAAAUAGCAACAUUGGGUGAGGCGGGUUGCAGGAGAGUAUUUGGAAGUUGAGGUUUAGCAAAAUGUUUUAAAAGAUACGCAAAGAAAAAUAUGUUAAAAAUUAUUAUUUUUUUAAACGAUAUAUACGAUAUAUACAAGGGACACGACACGACAAGACGUCCGACUGCUACGCCAUCUUGGAGAAAGGUUGUAAGGAAUUGGAAGGACUUCUAGGUCAGGUGAGCAGAAGAACUUGAGUUCCUGUGUGUUGUUAUGGUUACAACAUGAGUCGUUAAUCAUAAAGCAUAAACCCCCGCCCUUCCUCUUCCUAGAGAGGUGUUUAUCUCUGUCGGCGCGAUGCAUGGAGAAGCCCGGUGGCCUGAACCGAUUCCGACAAAAUAUCCAAGAGAGCCAUGUUUCUGUGAAACAGAGAAUGUUACAAUCUCUGAUGUCUCUCUGGAAGACAACCCUUGCUCUAAUUUUGUCUACCUUGUCAGGAGACUUGACAUUGGCGAGUAGUAUACUCGGGAGCGGUGAGCGAUGUGCACGUCUACGGCGCCUAACCAGAAUACCGCUCCUUCUGCCCCUUAUGCGGCGUCGUUGUUUUGGGUCGGCUACUGGGAUCAGAUCCAUUGUCCUGGGUGGUGGUCGAAACAGAGGUUCUUCUUCGGGAAAGUCAUAUUCCUGGUCGUAAUGUUGCCUAUCGGAUUUCCUGUUAUGUACCUAUUGCCUGAUCUCCCGGACUACGUUCUUAGCCUUUUCCCUGCCUGUACUGUUGCCCUUUUGGACCCCCUGUGCAUGACCUUCUGCCUGCCCCUGGACCCAGCUACCUGCUUCCUCCUGUGUAUGACCUUCUGCCUGCCCCUGGACCCAGCUACCUGCUUCCUCCUGUGUAUGACCUUCUGCCUGCCUCUGGACCCAGCUACCUACCUCCUCCUGUGUAUGACCUUCUGCCUGCCCCUGGACCCAGCUACCUGCCUCCUCCUGUGUAUGACCUUCUGCCUGCCCCUGGACCCAGCUACCUGCUUCCUCCUGUGUAUGACCUUCUGCCUGCCCCUGGACCCAGCUACCUGCUUCCUCCUGUGUAUGACCUUCUGCCUGCCCCUGGACCCAGCUACCUGCUUCCUCCUGUGUAUGACCUUCUGCCUUCCCCUGGACCCAGCUACCUGCCUCCUCCUGUGUAUGACCUUCUGCCUUCCCCUGGACCCAGCUACCUACCUCCUCCUGUGUAUGACCUUCUGCCUGCCCCUGGAGCCAGCUACCUGCUUCCUCCUGUGUAUGACCUUCUGCCUGCCCCUGGACCCAGCUACCUGCCUCCUCCUGUGUAUGACCUUCUGCCUGCCCCUGGACCCAGCUACCUGCCUGCCUCCUGUGGUCCUUUGUAAUAAACACCUGCUGCGCCCUGCGCUUGAAACCAGCUCUCUGUCUCCCCUCUUUAUUACACUCUGCCGGCGCCAUGGUUGAUAUUCAGUGCAUUGUUAUGGAUUACUCUUUGGAGAGGACACCCUUCAAUGCACAAUAAAUACUGACUCCAAAGACGAACCCUCCUCCCAAUCUAAAGACCAGAUACAGUAUCACCCCAUGUUUCCCCAUUCACCUUGAUGAAGGACAACCUCUCCCUCUAUGUACAGUAGAUGAAGCUAACCAUUGAUAAUGCAUGUCAAUGUGUUAUAUCUUAUUGCAUAAGAGACACACAUGAAUACCAUGAUUGGACCAGCGCAGAGAGAUAGAGCAAUGAUGUGUGUAACCGAGGGGAAAUUCAUUUAUGCCAAGUCCUCCAGACAGUCAAUAGAAUCGCUG